rnacentral:rRNA from 1 species
GAUGAACGCUGGCGGCGUGCCUAAUACAUGCAAGUCGAGCGAACAGACGAGGAGCUUGCUCCUCUGACGUUAGCGGCGGACGGGUGAGUAACACGUGGAUAACCUACCUAUAAGACUGGGAUAACUUCGGGAAACCGGAGCUAAUACCGGAUAAUAUAUUGAACCGCAUGGUUCAAUAGUGAAAGACGGUUUUGCUGUCACUUAUAGAUGGAUCCGCGCCGCAUUAGCUAGUUGGUAAGGUAACGGCUUACCAAGGCAACGAUGCGUAGCCGACCUGAGAGGGUGAUCGGCCACACUGGAACUGAGACACGGUCCAGACUCCUACGGGAGGCAGCAGGAGGGAAUCUGCCGCAAUGGGCGAAAGCUUGACGGAGCAACGCCGCGUGAGUGAUGAAGGUCUUCGGAUCGUAAAACUCUGUUAUUAGGGAAGAACAAAUGUGUAAGUAACUAUGCACGUCUUGACGGGACCUAAUCAGAAAGCCACGGCUAACUACGU